GAUCAUGGCUCAGGAUGAACGCUAGCUACAGGCUUAACACAUGCAAGUCGAGGGGCAGCAUAUUUCUAGCAAUAGAGAUGAUGGCGACCGGCGCACGGGUGAGUAAUACAUCGGAACGUGUCCUGUUGUGGGGGACAACCGGUCGAAAGACCGGCUAAUACCGCAUAAGACCUGAGGGUGAAAGCGGGGGAUCGCAAGACCUCGCGCAAUUGGAGCGGCCGAUGCCCGAUUAG
rnacentral:rRNA from 1 species